rnacentral:tRNA from 1 species
CCCUCCAUAACUUAAUUGGCAAAGUAGCGGACUCUUAAUCCGUGAAUCCAGGUUCAAGUCCUGGUGGAGGGA